rnacentral:snRNA from 1 species
AGCUUUGCGCAGUGGCAUUAUCGUAACCAAUGAGGUUUAUCCGAGGUGCGAUUAUUGCUGGUAGACGGACAAAUUGAUUUUUAAGCAUACUGCUUGGUUAAAGUUCGGCACCCCCCUCCACGUGG